rnacentral:tRNA from 16 species
GGACUUAAAAUCCGUUGGCUUUUUAGACCGUGAGGGUUCAAGUCCCUCUACCCCCA